UCAGCCAUGACUGAUGGUUAUGUCUACAUGUGACGAAUAAACCUUUGUUUUUACCAAAACUCUUACAAUGACCAUACAUCAGAUGUACCAUGUAAACUCAGCAUAAGGAAACAAAUGAAAAUAUCUAUAAAGACUAGAACCAAUCGUCAUUUUACCUUACCCUUUAUUACACUUACUUAAUGACAAGGAAAACAAUGACUAUAGAUAAUAAUUAUGCAACCAUCAAACACACCAAACACCAAAUAGAUAUUAAAAAAAAUUAAGCACAAAAAAUAUUAACAAUAAUAAAACAAAAAUAAAAAGCUAUAGCAAACCAACGGAAAAAGUGUUAAUUAUGGAAAAAUAACAUAUUAAACAAUAAACAUACAGUGCCACACAUAAGAAUUGGCACAACCAUCAA